rnacentral:tRNA from 1 species
UGAAAGCUAGUGAAUACACAAACACGAAUGAAUUUGAAUCAUUAAAAGGAAUUAAAGAUUCCGCUUUCAA